UUCACUCUCAAGAGACCCCGUGAAAGGCGUUGGUUGGUACAGACAGCAGGGCGAUGGCCGCCGGAAGUUGGAAGCCGCUAAAGAAUGCGCAGCAACUCACCUGCCAAAUCAGCUAGCCCUGAAAAUGGAUGACGCUUGAGCGGAA
rnacentral:ncRNA from 1 species